GCGGGGGAACACACCAUCAGGAACUACCCCGCCACGGUCCACGGGGCACUCCUCAGUGGUCUUCGGGAGGCGGGUCGGAUAGCGGACCAAUUCCUUGGGGCGCCGUAUGCCCUACCCACCCACAAAAACGAAGGUGUGAAGACGUAAUAACAACUCACAUCAACGACAUCCAUAUUCCAGAGUCAUUUCACAUUGCCGAGACAUACCUAACAUGCAUUUGGGUUCUUGGCAUGUUUACAAAUGCAGAUACGGGACUAGCGUAUUUCUCUUUUUUUUUUUUUACCUUGAAACAAAAAAUCAUUUUUAGAAACCACUUGCAUCAGUGAAAAUGGCAGCUGCGAUUCGAGUUGUAAUUGUUAUGGCUAACUUCAAAUGGUUCGUCUUUAUAUUUUGUUGGUGAUUAGAAUACCGUACAUGUUUUUCGUAUCAUUUAGUUAAUGCAAUACAAACUACCCUAGUAUAAAACUGUGUCAAUGCAAUAACCAUUGAUACGCUUUCAUUUAUACAUCACAGUGUGUGUUCUUGGCAUAUCUUCAUCAUUUUUUCAUCCAGUCAAUUUUGCACAUCGCCGAACCAGGCGUUUCACGAUGUAAUAAAAGCAUGUGAC
rnacentral:misc_RNA from 1 species